rnacentral:lncRNA from 1 species
GGUAUUUGUAAUCUGCAGAACCAAAUUACCACACCAAAGCAAGAACUGCAAGGCAAGAAAUCACUGCAAAGUGCCACAGGGCACAAAGAUGUGCAUGUCUCUGUGGGCAGAGGCAGCCCCAUAUGAGCAUUUUACAGAAUCAAAGAAUGAUUUGAGUCAGAAGAUCAUCUAGUUUCAAACUCCCCACCAUGGACAGGUGUGCCACGCACCGGAUCAUAUUGCUCAGGGUCCCAUCCAACCAGGUUUUGAAUAGCUUCAGGUAUAUGGAACCCACAACUUCUUUGGACAACCUGUUCCAGUGGCUCAACACCCUCACAGGAAAGAACAUCUUCCUAACAACUAGUCUAAACCUGACAUCUGAUUCCUCUGAAGCCCCAUGCUCCCUUGCUUGUGUCCUGAAGAUGGCAAAGGAAACCAGAAAAGACUGGGACUAAUGUGUCCUGACUAUAUUAGAAGUAAAGAAGGACCAAACACUUGAAAUAGAAGCAAUCUGAAACCUUAAAAAAGCAAAGAUCUGGGAUCCUGUUUUCUAGACUGAGCAACUGUGUUGGCAUUGCAGGCCACGACUUCAUGCGUAUGGAUAAACAUGAGCCACGGAUACAUGCAGCUUUCUUCUCGCCCUUCACAUAGCUCAAAGUGCUUUCAAAGCAGCUUCUAAAGAGCUCUGUGACCAGCAAAUAAAUUUGUCAUACCCUCUGCUAUUUGGAAUAUAAGUACAGCUUACCCUAAUGCCUUAGGAUAGGUAUCUUUAUGUUCCAACCUAAUAUACCCUUAGCUAGCAUAAUGUAGAUUCAUUUAGGCAAAAAAGGCAGAUUCUGAAGUUGCAGGAGUACACACCCAUUUUUAGCCUUUCACAGUACAGUGUUCUAGCACAGCAGCAGGGGAGGGGAGAUGCUACUUCUGUAAUUUCACAUUUCUUUAUUUUAAAGCUGACUGCUCAAUGGAAAGUAAAAAAAUGUCAUAAAGACCUUCUUGACUUCAUCAAAAAUUGUAAUCAGCAGUAUCCAACAGCUUAAAACUUCCAUUCCUGCUGUCCCCAGAUCAGCUGCUUCUGCUCAGUUUCUUUAAAGGGGCUGACUACAUUGCAGCAGUAAACUUCACCAGCUGGAUGAGGAAAAAAAUGGAGAAUUCCUUCCACGCAAAAAUUACAAUUGAGCACAAUUGUGCCGCAGAGGCAAGGCAGGAGGGAACAGUACAAAUACCCAUUUUCAUAUUUCCAUGCAUGUAAAUAUAUCAUAGCUUCCCUACAAAAACCUCUCGUGAGGAGUUUCUGUUUAUUACAGCAGCAAACAGCACAGUAAAGAAUACUGGCUGUAGGCUGCCAUCUGCCGGGUUUUGUGAUGAAAGGUCACUUGCCAGCAGAUUUUGGUAGAUUUUGCCUUAACACUGCAAACAGCAUGACAAAUGCUCACCCAUGGAAGGCUGGGGGCAUGGGGGCAUCCCAUUCCCACCAGUGGCAGCCGAUGAAGUUUCUGGAAGCCAGUGGGUUUCCUGAACCUGACUUACAGCUCCCCAGAAAACUUUAAAAGGACACUGCUUUGCACAGAUAUUGUUUUUGUAUUGACACGAACUUUAAAUUAAUAUACUUCGAUGCCCUCAGGUUAUGAAUCUUUCAGCCACACAAAUACAUACACAUGAAAUCCUCUUUGAAGCCAAGCUAAUACGCAAAUUCUAGUUUUUGUGUAACUUCAUGUCAUUGUACAACCUGUGCAUCACUUUCCUGCAGCAGGAUUAUAGUUUUAGUUUCAUCAGUUGACAUGCCCUAAAGGUUCUACAUCUGUUUUCCUGGGCUCUUAACAUCCUUUAAUGACUUAUUACAGCUCAGAACACAAACAUUUUAUUGGGUUCAAUGGCAGCAUGUAAGUUAAAUGAACCUGUGCUGAUGAAGAGAUAUUGGGUUUUUUAUUUAGCUGACAUUUAUGCAAACGUGCAAGACAAGUACUCGUAAAAUAUUCUAGAAAUAAAAAACAGGCUUCUGUGAGUCAGUAGUAUUUUUGCCUGACUUCACUGGCUUCAAGCUUUCAAGCAAUAUAUCUUGGUGUUGGUACACAAAUUCCUCAGCCUGCAAUGAGCUCCGCAUAUUCUCCUCAGUGAGUUCAGACUGAGGGUAGUGCCACUAGUUCUGCAAUGGAAAGUAAGGGACAUGGAACUCUCUCCAUAUUGACCAUGUUCUUGGAAAAUUCUCUAGUAUCAUUCCAGUUAUAGUGCGGGCCUCCAUCUUGUGGCUGCUACUUUUCAGAGACAAUCUUAUUAACACUUCAAGUCUUCAUCUGAAUUGUUCACCAGCUUUUUAAAAACUCUCAUGAGCCCCUGUUGCAAGCCAUGUUAAACUUUCUUUGUUUCAAAAGAUACACAGCAGAGUAACUAUCAAAUGAGCCAACAACACAGUUGAAUUUUGCAAUAAUUGAGCUUCACUAUCAUGAUGCUGUAAUCAAGAGGAUAUUGUCAAGAUUAACAGAACUUAUACUAAGUUACUUUUGUGUUCUCUACAGCCCUUUGCAGAAUGGAUAUAAUUCUUUAUAAUGUGAAAAGGUCUUCCCUUGCUUGUUGGCUUGAGUGUUCUAAUGGAUCUCAGUGGAAAGUAGAGAAGUCUGUGGUAUUAUUAUGUAUAUGCAUUUGUAAGUAGAUGUUUGCAUUUGCAUGCACAUAUUUUGCAAUUUAUCAGAAAAAGAGAAUAAAAUUUCAAGUGGAGUUUUUUGAAACGACCAGCAUUGUGAAAUUUCCUGUGGCUUUCAGCAUACACCAAAAAAGAGUCUUCAAAGACUUAUGCAAUCUCUGCUGGAGCCAACUUUAUAGUUCUAGUGUCUCUUCUUAAAUACUCCAAAUUGAUUAAAAUCUAACAUGAUUCUCCUAAAUUUCUUGAGCUGACAGGAGUCUCCUGAAGUUCAGCCAAAAGGUAAAUACAGAGUCCUGCAUGUGGGAUGUGAUAACCUCACGUGGCAGGGCAGACUAGAGAUCAGCUUUGAAGGAAAUGACCCUGUGAUUCAGCUGGAAGGUUGGAACGUGACCCACCAAUGCACUUUUGCACCACACCAAGGUCUCCUGACUAUAUUAGAAGAAGUUAAUCCAGAAGAUUAAGGGAAGAGAUUGCAUUCAGCACUUGUGAGACAACAUCUGAAAUACUGUGUCCAGUUUUGGAGUCCACAGUGGAAGACACUGACAGGCAGGUGAAAGUGCAACAGAGGCCAGCAGGCAGCUUUGUGAGCUAGAUAACAUGAUGUAGAGGGAGAUCAUGUCAGGUCUGAGCAUGUUCAGCCUGCAGAAGGGAGGACUAUUGGUGGGCAUAUCUUGCUGCUGUGAGCAAUACCAGAUAAGAAGGUGUAGAUAAAGUGGAGUCAGAUUUUUCUACUAGGUGCAUGGUUAUCUACGAAAAGACAACAAGCAAAAAUCGGAACACAGGAAAAUGUGAACAACUAUAAAAAAAGAUUUUCAGUACGAGAGUGCUCAAACACUCAGAGCACUGAGUGCUCAGCAGAGGUUGUCUCAGGAGGCUGUGGGAUUUCCAUCCAUAGAAAUAUUUAAAAGAUAGCUGGAUGUGGCUCUGAGCAAAUCCUGACGCUAGCUUUGAGCAGGGGAGCUGGAUGAAACACAUCCAGAAGGUGCCUUCUGGCCCGUCAGAUUCUAUUCUUUACCUUCUGAAUAAUUUUCUUGUUCACACAGCAGUAAUAACACGAUACAGGAAUUCUCUCCUGGCUCUCAGGCACUUCAGCAGCUGAGGAAGAAACAGCCCAUGACACUGUAACAGAAUAUUCACUCGAAGCUGUCCAAGGCAUCAGCUCUAUGUGCACGCAAUGAGACAAUUCCUACCAGAGCUCCAUUACAAAAGGUUUGGUUCCCCUGUGUGUGUUGGGGAAACAGCUCCCUUUCUGUUAUUUAAAUGCUGGGGUUUGACCUAAUAUUAAAUGAGUUUGCCAGCCUAACAGCACAACAACAAUGAGCUGUCACAUUAGAAGAUAGAGUGAACAGCUAUUUUCCAGGUAGUGGAAAGCAAUUAAACUCCCAUGUCACUCCAGUUAGUAUGGUCUAUGGCUAAUCAGAUGCAAAUCUCACCUUAAAUAAAUAAGCAGACAGGUUAUUUCUAAGUAGAAUAUCCCCAUUUACAACCCUAGAGACGUGUUCUAUAAAAAACUGUAGGUGUCACUGUGUCUGGUGUGAAUUGUCAUUACGCUGGCCUAAAGUGCCCUCUCCUUUUCCUGGCCCAUAAACACAAUGGAAAGGGAAUUUUUGGCAGCCUACUGAGUUAUAUCCUUCCAAUCUCAAGGACGGGAGAAUUUAAGGGGCAUUGUGAAAACUUCUAUCCCUAAAAAACAAGGUUGCAAGUUAUAGUUUCCAGUAUUACUGUCAGGUUAAACAAAAAUCCAUCCUCAGAUACACAGUAGUAUGUUUUUUUUUUACUAUAGUUAAUGGAAAUACCUCACAGUGAUUGUUGUGAUAAAUCAAAUCCUAGUUCUAUUUUGAACAUCUAUCCUCAGACUGUUAAACUGAGCAUGUCACCUGACAGAUUUAUCUAUUAAGUCCUGGGGAAUUCAACAUCAUCUGUAUUUGCUGUGCAAACUCCAUUGGUGCCAGUGGAUAAAGAAGAUUUUAGGAUGACCUCUGUUGGCAAAAAGUCAUAAAUUACAUAUCUUGGACAAGAUUUUUUUUUUUCAUUUCACCUCCUAGAGUGCAAAAUUAAGGGUUAUAAUUUAAAAUCAGUUGCCAGUUGAGAAGAAUAUAUGAAACCAAGUAUCAAUGCCUGAAAUUGUCACAAGUAUAAAUAAUGUAUGAGUGAUGACAAUUGCUAAUCAUAUUUGGAGUUUUUUUUUAAAUGUAGCUCUGACUCCAUUGGGUCUGAAAUUGCAGGAAAGCAGUAAAUUUUAUGGACUAUGAAGUAUGACAGUUUCUUGUUACAUAUACAGGCUCCAAAGGGUACUAAAAGUGCUUUCCAACAGCCUUUAUCUAUAAAAAAUACGGACCCCUUUGUGGACAAAUACAGAACCUGGGAUUUACAUUUGGAGUAUUUCUUACUGAAGUAGUAAUACAGUAAAGACAGUUACUUAUUUCAGGCAGAUGUUCUGUCUUUAUUUCGUAGCGUCUAAGUCUUGCCUUGCUUGUUGGCUAUCUUCUCAAGUAACUAUUUCUAACAAAUAUAUGCACAGAGAGGAAAUAGGUGACACCAGAGCCAUUAUUUUUAAUUUAUUGUAAGCCUUUCAAAUUUUAAUAAUGUUCAUGCCUGUAAAAAUGUCACUGGUGUUCAACAUACUACUGAUCUCUCAGCUUUUUAAGUAAUCGAUUCUUUGUCCUGGAAGAAAAAAAAAAAAAAAAAAAAA